rnacentral:rRNA from 1 species
UACGGAGGAUCCGAGCGUUAUCCGGAUUUAUUGGGUUUAAAGGGUGCGCAGGAGGGAGAUUAAGUCGGCGGUGAAAUUUUGCAGCUCAACUGUAAAAGUGCCUUCGAAACUGGUUUCCUUGAGUGUAGAUGAAGUAGGCGGAAUUUGUGGUGUAGCGGUGAAAUGCAUAGAUAUCACGAGGAACUCCGAUUGCGCAGGCAGCUUACUAAACUACUACUGACGCUCAGGCACGAAGGCGUGGGGAUCAAACAGGAUUAGAUACCCCAGUA